GUGCUCACUUCGGCAGCACAUAUACUAAAAUUGGAACGAUAUAGAGAAGAUUAGCAUGGCUCCUGCGCAAAGAUGACAUUUUACCACCAUGACAAUCAUAGUU